CGUGACUACAGAUUUUCAAACAAUACAAUUUUACUUUAAUAUCAUAUCCCACAAGUUCUUCAGUCACAUGAGAACCUGAAGUGUAAACAGGGACAAGAAGGAAGGAUUCUUGACCCCUCCGUGAACUCAGUGGGAUCAGUUCUGGCCUGAGCUCCAAUGCACAGGGAAGCUGAGAGAGGUGCCCACAGGACCCCACGGGCUGGCCCAGAGAAGACCUCUAUUAUUUUGAAGAAAUCCGCAUCUGUCUUGAUGACAGUGUAGGGAAAGUUAUUUCACCACUGUAGUGGCAUCAGAGGACACUCUCAGCAAGAAGUAACCAAUCUCUUUGGAGCUUGCAAAGGAAGGUGCAUCCCACAGAGCUAAUGUUAUGUGCACCACUUGUAGACAGAUUACGUUACAUGAAUGAGUUUGAUAGGAGUCACCAUGGUGAGGAAAGGAUAAUGGAAUUUCAGUAAAUGAGAAAUAACCUCUGCAAAGUCCAAUCAGAGGGAAUUUCAGCUCUUUAUAUUGCCUUGUGUCUGCUGUCUUGUACACUGGAGCUGUGCAAGUGAACUAAAUUCAGCACAGAGCAUUAAAUGCUGUCUCUUUUGUAAUUAACAUCAGAGAGCUGUAUGAAGUCUUGAAGCUAUGAAAUCCUGCAAGUCCUGUCGAAAAUGUUUCUUUAUACAGAUCUUAAGUGUUAUUCAAAGGAAUUUACCCUAAAAGAUGGAGAACUGCUGGGACAUGAAGAACAUAAAGCUCUAAGACUGUAUGUUGGAGAAAAGUUCCCUCAGAAGCGUGUGUUUAGACGCCCUUGGUGACACUUGCUGCCUUGCCUGCCAUGCCUGCAAGUAUGGCCUCACUUUCACUGUUAUUGCAACGUGUCAAGUGAAAUGAAAACAGAAAUUUGGGAAAGGAUAUAAUUAACCUACUUGUAAACAUUAACCUUAAAUAUCUACCUAAUUAUCUCACUAAUUUAAUCACUGCAUAUCUCAAACUUGUUUGUUAAAUAUUUAAUUCUGCGAAUUGUUUUUGAUACAGAGGUGUGGGGCGCUUUCUGUGAAUGUAAGUUACUCUGUAAAACUCUUUGCAAGAUCAUUGUUGUGUUCGCACUUCAUUGAACAAACCCUGCUGUCAACAAGACUUUUAAUGGAAAUCACAGGAAACUAUGCCCUGAGGCUAAGAGAUAUCGUGCCCUAUUAUUUUAAAAUCUAAUGAACACAUUGUGCAGAAUGUAGACCGGGGUAAACUUCUUCCUGCAUAUCUUCAGGUUUGAUUCCAUGGGAGUCUAGAGUGGAAAGUUCUGGGUUUCCUUGUUUCUUUGGUUGCAGUGCAGCUGCACAGUUGUUUCUUACCUAUUCACCUCUUUAUUACUUGGGGGACUCAGCAAAAUGCUGUCCUUGAUCUUCAGCUCUUUUUAUCAAGUCACUACCUCGUGCUAAAAGUAAUCUAAAAGGUGUUUAGAUGCUGCGGUUACAAUGCCACUCAAAGUGGCUCUAAUUAUUCCUGAGAGGAAAGUUUUGAAUUGGGAGUGUUUGUUGAGAAAAUGAAAGCUCCAUGUUUGUUCCUUCCUCCCCGAUGGGAAGGGGGCUGUGCUCGCACUGCCUCCUGCAAACACACACAAGGCCCAGCUGAGCACUGCAAGGAGGGCCUUGGGGAUGCCUCCAGCUGCUGGGGCUGGGAGAGGAAACAGCCAGGCUGUGGGUGCUGAAGAAAAUCCCAGAUGGAGCGGACAGCUAACCCAGGACAAGCUCUGGAGGCACCUGAAUCCUCUCUUCCAUGAGAAGGUAGGGGGGCUCAGCUGUGCAGUGCCUCCCCUCCCUCUAUCACUCCCCAGGGGCUUCAGCCAGCCCCACAUUUCAGGCUAUACCCACAUGGCAGUUCUGCAAUGCUAUUUUCUUCAUUUUUGUUAUAUAAGUCUCCUUAACUGAGGAAGAAGGUGAAAGAUUGGGACUAACAUUGUGUUUCUGCACUGUAGUUCUCACUAUCAGAUGAAGGUGCAAAGCUAUACUAAAUCCAGGUGAUGUCUCACAGCAGACCUCUGACAGGAGCCAUGCGAUUAGUUAGAUGUCCAUAUAAAUACCUAUUUGCACUAUAUUACUACCUCAUCAUAUAUUAUUUGGAAUUUCAUCCUGAUUGUCUGUAUUUAUUACAUACAAUUCAUACAUUUAUUUAUUACAUACAAUUCAUGUAUUUAUUAUACACAAUUCAUACAUUUAUUACACACAAUUCAUUUAUUACAUACACAAUUCAUACUGUUUAGUUCAAUAAGAAACAAAUUUCUGUGAAUUUGGCUGAAUAAAGCUGUGUUUGUUCUUGUUAGUUAUCCAAAGUCUCGUUCUUUCUAUGCAUUAUCUCAAUUUCUGGGCAUUUUUCCCCUUCAUUUACUCCAAAAAUUACUUCAGUACUAAUGAAAACUGAAAGACAGCCAAGACGG